rnacentral:rRNA from 1 species
AAAUUGAAGAGUUUGAUCAUGGCUCAGAUUGAACGCUGGCGGCAGGCCUAACACAUGCAAGUCGAACGGUAACAGGAAACAGCUUGCUGUUUCGCUGACGAGUGGCGGACGGGUGAGUAAUGUCUGGGAAACUGCCUGAUGGAGGGGGAUAACUACUGGAAACGGUAGCUAAUACCGCAUAACGUCGCAAGACCAAAGAGGGGGACCUUCGGGCCUCUUGCCAUCGGAUGUGCCCAGAUGGGAUUAGCUAGUAGGUGGGGUAACGGCUCACCUAGGCGACGAUCCCUAGCUGGUCUGAGAGGAUGACCAGCCACACUGGAACUGAGACACGGUCCAGACUCCUACGGGAGGCAGCAGUGGGGAAUAUUGCACAAUGGGCGCAAGCCUGAUGCAGCCAUGCCGCGUGUAUGAAGAAGGCCUUCGGGUUGUAAAGUACUUUCAGCGGGGAGGAAGGGAGUAAAGUUAAUACCUUUA